rnacentral:rRNA from 1 species
GACGACCGCUGGCGGCGUGCCUAAUACAUGCAAGUAGAACGCACAGGAUGCACCGUAGUUUACUACACCGUAUUCUGUGAGUUGCGAACGGGUGAGUAACGCGUAGGUAACCUGCCUGGUAGCGGGGGAUAACUAUUGGAAACGAUAGCUAAUACCGCAUAAGAACAUUUACUGCAUGGUAGAUGUUUAAAAGGUGCAAAUGCAUCACUACCAGAUGGACCUGCGUUGUAUUAGCUAGUAGGUGAGGUAACGGCUCACCUAGGCGACGAUACAUAGCCGACCUGAGAGGGUGAUCGGCCACACUGGGACUGAGACACGGCCCAGACUCCUACGGGAGGCAGCAGUAGGGAAUCUUCGGCAAUGGGGGGAACCCUGACCGAGCAACGCCGCGUGAGUGAAGAAGGUUUUCGGAUCGUAAAGCUCUGUUGUUAAGGAAGAACGAGUGUGAGAAUGGAAAGUUCAUACUGUGACGGUACUUAACCAGAAAGG